rnacentral:misc_RNA from 1 species
CCGAGUUUACAACUCCCAAACCCAAUGUGAACGUUACCAAACUGUUGCCUCGGCGGGGUCACGCCCCGGGUGCGUAAGAGCCCCGGAACCAGGCGCCCGCCGGAGGAACCAACCAAACUCUUUCUGUAGUCCCCUCGCGGACGUAUUUCUUACAGCUCUGAGCAAAAUUCAAAAUGAAUCA